GCUUUAACAUGGAGGUACCUGCU
rnacentral:piRNA from 1 species